rnacentral:rRNA from 1 species
GGCCUUCUGGGUUGUAAACUGCUUUUGUCAGGGGAUAAAAAGCUCGUGCGCGAGAACUUGAAUGUACCUGGCGAAUAAGCCACGGCUAACUACGUGCCAGCAGCCGCGGUAAUACGUAGGUGGCAAGCGUUGUCCGGAUUUAUUGGGUUUAAAGGGUGCGUAGGCGGUCCUGUAAGUCAGUGGUGAAAUACGGCAGCUCAACUGUCGAGGUGCCAUUGAUACUGCGGGACUUGAGUGUUGAUGAGGUAGGCGGAAUUGACGGUGUAGCCGGUGAAAUGCUUAGAUAUCGUCAAGAACACCGAUAGCGAAGGCAGCUUACCAAGCAACAACUGACGCUGAGGCACGAAAGUGUGGGGGAUCAAACAGGAUUAGAUACCCUGGUAGUCC